UACGGAGGAUGCGAGCGUUAUCCGGAUUUAUUGGGUUUAAAGGGUGCGUAGGCGGAUCGUUAAGUCAGUGGUCAAAUUGAGGGGCUCAACCCCUUCCCGCCAUUGAAACUGGCGAUCUUGAGUGGAAGAGAUGUAUGCGGAAUGCGUGGUGUAGCGGUGAAAUGCAUAGAUAUCACGCAGAACCCCGAUUGCGAAGGCAGCAUGCCGGCUUCCUACUGACGCUGAAGCACGAAAGCGUGGGGAUCGAACAGG
rnacentral:rRNA from 1 species